GUGUUGUAUGAAAGGAGAGAAGGUUAGGACUCCCCUUGACAAGGAUGGAAGAGGCUCUCAGGCCUGACAACAUGCAAUCGGUUAAGGCAUUGCCACCUACUCCAUGGCAUCUAACCACUGUUUUUU
rnacentral:ncRNA from 1 species